GAAAUAACGGUACAGUGCUGCAAUAGUGAUAAAGGACAGUGAACUGCAGGCUGACUGGAUCGAGUCGCAAUGCUUGCUCUUAUCUGUGCGUAAGAGGAGCUCAGUGCUGUGCUGAUAACGCAGGUUUAGUAUAAAAAACAAGAGUGUCAGGCCGUGAUAAAAAGAACCGGUUACUGUGUGCCGAACAACACCAGUGCAGUUUGCACACUAAAAAAACACCUACAACUGAGCACCUGUUGAAUGCACUUCACAUAAUGAACAUGCAUAGUUGAUAAAAGUGUUUUAGACCCAUUAAACAUCAUAUUAUUUCCUACUCGAGCCUAAAAGUCAGGCUGCAUGUAAGGAUGUAUGUUAAAAGCCUGAGUGCCUCAAACAGUCAUGAAUGUCUUCACUCAGGCUCCUCCCAGUAAACAACUCUUUUUGGCGCUCCACCUCCAAAUAGUAAAAGAGUAAACACACUGUGAAUCAGCUUAUCGGAUGAGAUGCACGUAAAUGUCCAUGGUGUCCGCUAAAAAUUGUUUUGGUCGAAAAAACCACCUGGAAAGGAGGAUAGACCUUUAGGGACUGUUACGCAGAACAGUGAUGCAUUUGUAAUGUAAAUGGAUGGCAAAAAUGAGGAGUGACAGAUUGAAAAUAGUUUUUGUGUUGUGUCUUGCUUUCGUCUCUAUAGGUGGACAACAUUUUGAAAGUAAAGUGGCCCAGUUACUGCGAGACGAAUCAGAAGAUAUUAAAUGUUUUGUGGAGGUGAAGGAUCUCACUUGCUUUUGGGAAGAGGAGAGGAAUAGUUUACCUGAUCAGUAUACCUUCACAUAUUCAUACGAGAAUAAGAUCAAGGAUUGUGUGGUUUCAUCUCUGUCUUUACUGGCCAGUAACAAAACCGUCUUCUUCUGCAAACUGCCCAAAACCCCUUUCUUCACGACGCUUGAUGUGAAAGUUUCUCGUGAUCGCCGGAUGCUCUACAGUCGAAGCCUUAACGCUGAGAAUUUCAUGUUUCUAGAUCCUCCCAGAAACCUCACAGUCUUGAGUUCAGGGAAGGAAGGGCAGUUGAACGUGAGCUGGCUGCCUCCUCUACUCAAGUACAUGGAUGACAGUAUGAUAUAUGAGGUCAGAUAUGCAGAGGAGGGAAGUAACAUGGGCAAGGUGGAGGUCAUAAAGGUCAGCACGAUGCUGGUUUUGCUUGGCUUACAGUCGGACACCAGAUACAAGGUGUGGGUCCGUGUCAAACCUGAUGGUGUUGCCUACAAAGGCUACUGGAGUGCUUGGACCGAGCCUGUGCUUGGAGUCACACAGCCCAGCGAGCUGGAUCCACUGAUCAUGCUACUGGUGCUUUUCAUCGGACUGAUCCUCUGCCUGCUGUCUAUGACUGUGAUUCUGUCCCACCAAAAAUUUCUUCUUAAGAAACUCUGGCCUGACAUCCCGACACCAGAGCGAAAGUUUCCAGGUCUUUUUACCGUCUACAAAGGGGAUUUUAAGGAGUGGAUGAGCCAGAAUAAUAGCAGCAUGUGGGGCAGAUCAGUCCAUGUGUUCACAGAGGAGCUUCCUUCACCGCUGGAGGUCUUGUCCGAGGUUUCCCUGUCCAGCCACGGGACGUCUCAGAGAGAGGAGAGGAAACCUGUGGAGGAGGACGAGGAGAAGGAGAGCGAGCGUUCGGACUCGGGGUUACCGGACAGAUGGCGGGAACCUCCUCAAGCUCACUGGCUCAUGGAGCAACUGAGGACGCUUCAAGAAAACCCCCAACCUCUGUCCCAGUCACUGUUACCGCAGUCACAUGACACUUACGUCACUCUCAAUCAAAACUCCCAAGGAGACGGCGUUCGAGAGGUGGACGAUGUCUUUGAGGAGACGUUACCGCUGCAGACGCUCUUCACCACCGCAGGAACGCCGUCCUUGAACACCUCACACUCAGACCUCGGCUCCCUCCAGCAGAGCUCGGGUUCGGGCAGACUGUCGUCACAAUCCAGCUUUGAGUAUCCCAACCACACGUGGCCCCCCAAAGGGCCGGGAUACGCCUACAUGGCGGUCGCAGACUCGGGGGUCUCCAUGGACUACAGCCCCAUGAGCUCCAGCAGGAUCGUGGAGCUCGGGAGACACAGGAUGUACACAAAUGAUUACAAAAACGAGAUUUUUCUCCAUAAGUGGCCGCUCUCCGGUGAACACACUAAAUCCGGAUCAGACUUCUGCAUGGGUCCCAUUUGGUAAACCCGCCAUACUUGGGGAUAGUCUUACCAAAAGUAAGAAGGUGUCUGCCACCAGUUUGCAGACUGUGGUGAGCUGGUAUCAAGGUCACGGUCAGUUUUGCCAGCAUGAGCCCGAGCUGCAGGCGGUGAAGCCCACUUGUGGGUCUGUCUACAUCUGCACUGUGGCAGUGUGUGGCCGGUCAUUGGUUUGUGCAGUACCUGCCCUGGCCUGCAGGAGGCGAGUCCGAGUCAGACCUGGAGGAUGGAACUAUGGAGAAAGAUGAAGAGGACAGGCCUCCAGAGAAAAAAAUCUGCUGUCAGUGAGAGUAUCAACACCAAAAAUCUGGCUGAGAAGCAGUUAUUGGAUCCCAGUGAUGAAAUGUACAGUUCGAGAGAGCUUCAGCAAUCUCUCAGUAGAUCAGUCAGUGUGGACCUAGAGUUCUCCCCACAUGAAACAGAAGUGACAGCAAAGGCAUCUAUAAUGUUGCAAGAGAUUUCGGUUUCAGAUAAAUGCUGUUCAUAAACUUUCAUAUUCAUCAAAGAAUCC